CUUUUGUGUUCAGCAGAAGAAAGAAAUUCAUACAGAUUUGGAACAACUUGAGGGUGAGUAAAUGAUGACAGAAUUUUCAUUUUUGGGUGAACUAUCCCUUUAAUAUAAGGACAGUUCACACAAAAAUAAAUGAAGUCAUCAUGUGCUCACCCUCAUGUCUUUCCAAACCUUUCUUUCUACAAUGGAUUAUGUAAAGAGAUGUCUAAGGUACCCUUUUCCAAGAAAGUGGAUGGUGGCCAUUGAGCUCCAAAAAGGACAAAAGAAGCACCAUAAAUAUUAUCAUAACAGUAGUCUAUAUGAAUUGUGUACUAUAUUCCAUGUGUUUUGAAGCCAUUUUGGGUGGUAAACAGUCUCAAAUACUAGUUUCAAAUAAAGAAGUGACUUAUAUGUCCAUUUGGUAGAAAACAAAUUACUUAAAAAACAAACAAAAAAAACAAACAAGUGGCCUUAUAUGGUACACGAGGCUUAAUUGGGUCACUUCCUCUGUAUCACAGGAUGUGUUAAUAACCACACAGUUUUUGUAUUAAUGAGGUUUUAAAACGGACACCUUGAGAUUUGUUAGACUCAGUGGUUUCAGCCAGGGGGUCAGGGCUCACUAGGAGCCGCAACAAAUUUCCAAGGGGGCCUGAAGAUGACUUAAAAUUAAAAUAGACAAAACAAGCAUUAAAAUAAGCUAAAAGAACUAAAAAUCUAGAUUAUUAACACCAUUACACUCCAAGCCUGAACCGCUGAUACAAAGCAGAAUGGUUCCAUGCUUUCAUGUUGUUUACACCAAAUUCAGACCCUACAAUCUGAAUGUCGCAGCAGAAAUUCAGACUCAUCGGACCAGGCAAUGUUUCUCCAGUCUUCUGUUGUCCAGUUUUGGUGAGCCCGUGUGAAUUGUAGCUUCAGUUUGCUGUUCUCAGCUGACAGGAGUGGCAUCGGUGUGUCUUCUGCUGCUGGAGCUCAUCUGCUUCAAGGUUCGAAGUGUUGUGUUCAGAGAUGCUCUUCUGCAUUGUUUAUUUGAGUUACUGUUGCCUUUCUAUCAGCUCGAACUGGUCAUUCUCCUCUGACCUCUGACAUCAACAAGACAUUUUCUCCCACAGAACUGCCGCUCACCGGAUAUUUUCUCUUUUUCAGACCAUUUUCUGUAAACCCUAGAGAUUUGUUGUGUGUGAAAACCACAGUAGAUCAGCAGUUUCUGAAAUACUCAGACCAGCCCGUCUGGCGCCAACAACCACGCCAUGUUUAAAGUCACUUAAAUCACCUUUCUUCCUCAUUCUGAUGCUCAGCUUGAUCUUCAGCAGAUCAUCUUGAUUGUCUUCAUUCCUAAAUGCAUUGAGUUGCUGUGUUGGCUGAUUAGAUAUUUGCAUUAAUGAGCAGUUGAAGAGCUCUAAAAUAAUUUAUUGGAUAGAAGUUGUGAGUGUGGGGGCCUUCAAAUAUUGUCGUGGACAAUAGGGGGGUCUUGAAGUAAAAAGGUUGAGACCCACUGUGUUAGACGAUUCUUAUAGUGCAAUGAUGACAAUUGCUUGAUGACUAUAAUGUGUUAAGAGCUCGCUCAAGUACUGGGGAGCUAAACCAUUUAGUGCUUUGGACCACCUAGCUGGUUUUAAAGUGUUGGCCACUUUUCUUGCUGCCCAACCAGCUGCAAAUCUGUGGUUUUUUAGUAGACAAAUUUAAUUGGUUGAAAGAGGGGUGUCAAGCAACAGUUCCUUGAUUUUGAUGUGGGCAACUGGCAACCAAUGCAGUGACAAAAUGAGGGUCCCUUUUUGAGAAGAUGUAUAAAAGGAAAAUGAAACAUUGUCUGUUCAUUCUUGUUCCGUCACAAGAUGCAUCUGCAAGUCUCCAUUGCUCUUUUUUUCAUUCUUCUCACUGGAGGUACAGUAAAAAAUUUAAUAGCAUAUUUAAUUUUGGGGUGUAAAUAGGGAUUCACUGAAUGUCUCUCUUUGUCUCCUUGUCAUUUAAGGAUUUUGUCUGGACUGCUAUCAUUGCCAGUAUCAAAAAGGAGUUUCUUGUAAAACAUUGAAGACAUGUAAUAAGUGCGCAAGUACAAAAACAGUAGAAUACUAUGGACAGUAUAGAAAGCUAACAAUGGAAAGGAUCGGGAACUCAACUCGCCUACAGCGCAACCAAGUUAUAUGUGACAGAGCUGGCACAAAGACGGAAACCUUUUCUAAAAGAUGUGUUAUGCCACGUGAAUGUACAAGCUGGUCUUUUAGCACAGGCUGCUGGAGAAAGGAAUAUUCUGUCCAAUGCUGUAACACCAACUCUUGCAAUAAUCGAGAUGCCCCAGAUUUGAUCUCUCAUAAGCCCAAUGGGAAGAGAUGUUUCACUUGUGAUCGGAAGGACUGCUCAAAAACAGUGAGUUGUUGGGGGAAUGAAGACUACUGCUUU